CAUUCUAACAAGGUCUAUGAUUGGACACAUGUAGUCCUAUCUGAUUGGUUAUAGACACUUUUACCACUUUUACCUUUUCAGGCAGAAUGUGAUACAACACAUCAGCUGAACCAGUGCGUUUUUAUGUAUUAGUAACGCAGGGCUUGAUACAAAUUCUUCAGACUUUUUAUCUUUGAUGGGACUCAAAAGAGUUUUUCUGUUUGGCGCAGUUUUGGCAUUUUUGUGGUACGGGCACCAUCGAUGGUUCAAAGAAAAGGAGAAAUUCCCUAUCCAAGAAACAGCGAAUACUCAGGAAAGAAUACCAAUAGAACACGACGAGAGGUUGGUGUGAGGGCGAGUGAAAAGAGACUAAGGCGCAUAUACGAGGGAACCUAAACAUCACAAGAAACUUAAAAAUGACAAAGCAAAGAUGCAAGCCUUAGAGAGCAUUCGACGUCAUCGACAUAAUAUAUUAAAGGAUGUAGAUAUAGCACAAGCAACGAUGCGAGCCUUAGAGAGCAUUCGACGUCAUCGACAUAAUAUAUUAAAGGAUGUAGAUAUAGCACAAGCAACGAUGCGAGCCUUAGAGAGCAUUCGACGUCAUCGACAUAAUAUAUGGAAGGAUGUAGAUAUAGCACAAGCAACGAUGCGAGCCUUAGAGAGCAUUCAACGUAAUCGACAUAAUACAUAGAACGAUGUAGAUUUUUUAAUAGCAUACAUAGCACCUUGAUUGAAAAACAAUUAAAAAUUAAACAAACCGGAUACAGUAAAAACCCGCGUACAAAACAAGUGGAUUAAGAGCACCCAGGCCUGGUUUUAUGAAAUAAAAUACCAUUUAUAUAAGAACACAUUUAGCCUGAAAAAUGAAAGUUCUUAUAUUGAAAAAUACCAAAUAUCCAUGCACUGCUUUCCAUUGCUUACAAUGAAUGGGGGGAGGGUGAUAAAAAACAGAGAAAAUCAAAAGCAGUCAGUAGAAUACAAAUGUCCAUGGCAACAGAGUGUUGAACUCACCUUGCAUCAGCACAAAGAACUGAGAUGUGUGUCAGCCUUUACCCAUCCCGUCCCCUCUUAGGUACACUCGGACACAUACCUUGUAGCCCUAUUACGUCAUCUAUUCUGUUCCUUAAACAGCACUUGUCAGCCACCGUUGUUGUUAUUUGAUCUCGGAUAUAAUGUGCUAAAACUUGAAUUUAAGACUUUAUUUGACAAUUUCAAUUUAGCUUCCCCAAAUCAGCCGAUGGAAAUGGAUGCUUUUUUAUUGUACUUUGCUAGGAUGACAAAAUGGCGGCUUACAGAGGCUGUUUAAGAAAAAAGUCCUUCAAUUCUUACAUUACCACAAAUUCUCGAAUUUCCAUGUCUAAGGAGAGGCGCUUUUUAUAGCCACACAAAUGCAAGAAGCAACUCCGCUCAAAUCUGAACCAAGGAUCAAACUAGACAUAGUGCUGGUCCCCAAGGCCCUACAGAGUGCAUUUCUUCCACUCAGGCUCCCCUUGAAAUUCUUAAAAUACCUUGCUUAUAAACUUGAUCUACAGUACCACUGGCAUAUACCCUGGGUAUCAGUGGCUACAAAAAAUGCUGUGUUUUGAAACAUAUCAUGGGAUAAUUAGCUAAGUCUAGAAAUUGGUUGUAGCUUUCAAACCAGCAGAUGACUGCAACAAAUUGUAUGCGUUGACCACUUUUCCAGAUGAUGAGCUUUGGUAAAUUGGAGUUUAUUUACAAACUUGUGAACUAAACUCCAACAUGCCAAAGACUCAUAUCUUGAAAAGAGCCAAUGAUAGUAUAGACUAUGGUAUAGAAUAACAACAGUUGACGUUGUGAUGAAGCAAUUUAUUAUUGUACAAAUGAUGACAUUUGCUUCCUAGAACUGGAUCAUUUGGCCCUAAAAGGAAAACAUAUGAGCAGGUUAGAGGUUAAAUAGAACAAUUCAUACAGAGAUGCAACAACUUAUACAAAAAGGCUACAAUGUAUACAAAAAUGCAACAAUUUAUACAAACGGGUUACCACCAAUCACACCACUAAGUGGCUGUCCUAGAUUAAGUCCCUAAUGCCAAACUACAAAUAUUGUACUUCUUGUCAAUAAAAAUGUUGGUGUCAAGCACCUAACAGGCAGCAAA